rnacentral:rRNA from 1 species
UACGUAGGUGGCAAGCGUUGUCCGGAUUUACUGGGCGUAAAGGGCGCGUAGGCGGGCCGCCAAGUCCGCGGUGAAAUCCCCCGGCUCAACCGGGGAACUGCCGCGGAUACUGGAGGUCUCGAGGGAGGUAGGGGCAUGCGGAACUGCGGGUGGAGCGGUGAAAUGCGUUGAUAUCCGCAGGAACUCCGGUGGCGAAGGCGGCGUGCUGGACCUUUUCUGACGCUGAGGCGCGAAAGCCAGGGGAGCGAACGG